AUGUUAGCUAUACACAAGUUAACUAUAUUUGGCUUUUGGCUAAUUAGCUGUAAACUCGAGGCACUGGUAGCUUAGUCUUUUGUUCAUCACCACUCACCUCCAGUCCACACAAGCCAAGAAAAACACAACUGGGAUAAGAGCAGGAGGGAUUGCUAACUGCCUGUCUUUGUGUCUGAGGCACUGAUGUGUGCUGCACUUCAUCUGCGCGGAGACAUGGAGGGAGGGCAUCGUAACUCGACAAAGUCUCAUCUCCCGACCUGACAUUUAGAUUUUUUAUUAAAUAAAUAUAUUUGUUUGACAGGGAAGCUGUGUACAAACAGGAAUAUAUAUAAGCAAUUUCACACGAGCAAGAGUGCGAUAUGGCUCUACAUCAGCACUGCUGUGAUUCUGCCGCAGGCCGAGACAUAUCCAGCUGCAGACCCGCAGCACCACCAGUUUCAGAACCCCAGCGCCAGAACCUGAAGUGAGGGGCGGAGUUAUUGACAAUGAGACAAGCAUGGCGGAGAGCAUGUAAGAUGACAGCCAAAAUUGCACCUGGCACAUGGGUGCUACUGAAAAACAAGGAUAUCCCCCAACAGAUUGGUGGUGUAGACUGUGGAGUCUUCAUGUUGAUGGUGAGACAUUGUUUUGAUAUAAUUAAACCAAUGAUUGGUGUGGUGGUGUUUUUAUUUUAAUUUUUUUAAGUUGUUAAAUACGGAACAAGGAAGAUUUUUUUUAAUUUGACGUUUACAGAGAUAAUGUUCCUUAAUUUUUGCUGUUUUCCAUUAUGCUCUACAUCUUGUCUUGGGAGCACCCUUUGAUUUUACAUCUUGCGACUUUCCAAACAUACGGAGAUGGUGGGCUCUUAUUCUUCUGGAGAACUUUGGGGUUUUCUCUGAAAGGAGCUCCCAAUAAUCCAGCACAUGAAAGAAGCUGUGAAAUGGCUCCAUUCCAACAGCCAUCUGCUCAGGGGUCUAGUGGAAGAGCCUCUUUUAAUUCGAAUGAAUGAAGACCACAAGGAAAAGGCCCGCAACAAUCUCCUGGAACAGUCAGAAGCUUCCAGAGAGCCCUUUGUAUUUCAUUUUGUGUUCAGGGAUGACAUGGAGUUAUUUUUACAAGAAUGUAAGGACAAAAUGGGCCUGAGAGUGAAUGCCUCAUUUGAUACAUUUUAAUUUUUAAUUUUAAUUUAUACAGGAUUGUCAUGGUAAAAUGGG